CAAUAUUUAUUAUAGACAUAUGCAUCGACAACCGCUCUUUUAAAGUUUUUAUAAAUAGAAAAGAAGAGAGGGUUGGAGAUCUCAAAUGUGGUGAUAGCACAUGGAUUUUUAAUGCCCUCUAGCCAUUGAUGUUGCUCUUCUCGAUCCUCCUUGUGGUCUUGGUGACUCUUAUGAAUGGGAUGUCUAGAGAGAUUCACAGGAUCAUCGGGAGGUUCAAGAGAAAGAGCAUACUAGAAAUUAUUAAGCUCAAGGAUG
rnacentral:lncRNA from 1 species